CUUCAUGGGAAAGGGGGUCUCACUGUGUCAUCCAGGCUGGAGUGCAGUGGUGUGAUCUCGGCUCACCACAACCUCCACCACCUGAGUUCAAGUGAUUCUCCUACUUCAUCCUCCCAAGUAGCUGGGACUACAGCCAGAGACAGACUCCCAGACUUGGCCAGAGGCUGAUGCCGACCCCUUCCAGCUCUCACGGUAACCAUGAGGCCCCUGCGUGUUUCUGUUGUGGAGGUCCCAGAGGGAACUGUGUGGACGGACACAGCCUGAAGGGCCAUCUGCCCCAAGCCACAGCAGCACAGGAUUCUAAAGACUGCGGGGAAGGAUGGGGCCAAGGGGACCAGAUGUGCAGAGGUAAUGAAUACCAGGGAAUCAGGAAACCACUGGAUCAGUUCUUUGAGCCAUAGAACAACACUCAUCCCAGCAGCUGGGAAGCUAUCUGCAAAAGUCCAUCUGCAGAAAGGGCUUCCUGGUCUUGCGUGUGGCUGGGCCAUUUCUCUGGAUGCAGGUUUUUCAUUAUACAGUCUUCUCAAAGGACCACCUGCUCUCAACACC
rnacentral:antisense_RNA from 1 species